UCACUUUAUUAAUUAUAGCCAGCAGCCUCCAUUAAUUCAUUUAUCUCCACCCUAAAGCAAAGAAAACCUCCUACAAAUCACACACAAACUGUAUCAUAUCAUAUGCACAUAUACGAUAUAUGAGAAGCUCAUCAAACAUAUCUACUGUAGAAUAUAAUGGAUGAAGAAUAUGAUGAUCGGUAUGCAGAAUUGAAGAAGAAGCCCACGUGAAGAAGAGAAGAUGAUGGCCUUAAGAGGGAUAUUUUUUAUGAUUGUGGUGGCAGUAUCCCUCUUGAUUCUGCCGCUCAUCCUGCCGCCGCUGCCGCCCCCGCCGUUGAUACUCCUCCUUGUCCCCGUCGCCAUCAUGGUGGUGCUCUUUUUCUUGGCCUUCGCGCCGCCCUUGCCGCCGGCGUUGCCUUAAUAAAUGAUGUAGUACUGUCAACUAUGGAUAUUCAAGAGAGGAAAAAAUGUACCGGCCAAUCCAUUUUCUCACAUUUUCACUCCAAUUCAUGCUAAUAUGAUCACAAGCUAUGUUGCAUAGGUAUGAUAAUAUUUUCUCAUAUUGUAUAUUUUAUUAUCUUUCAAUUUUACCAUCAAAAUUACAAUUAUUUAACUCAUCACUCUAUAUUUUUCCUUCUCUCUCUUUCUCUCUCUCUCUCUCUCUCUCUCUCUCUCUCUUCAACUUUCUCUCUAUCUUUUCUCUCUCUUCAUAAUAUUUUCAUACUAUAUUUAAUUUUUCACCAAAGAGAAUACGAGAUAAAAAGAGUGGGGACCAUUAAAAUAUGAUAAUUUUUUCUCAUUUCUUAGUUUCCCUUAUUUUCUCAUGAUAAACUUAUAAUCAAAGAGAACACAUUCUAAGGUGACGUUUUCUUUGCAUGAUUAAUAAGAUGCAUGAUUGAGUAUUGCAAUCCCACUUUUUGAAUGAGAUAAUCAAGCAAAACUAGCUUAAAUGAUAUAUAUAUAUAUAUAAAAAAAAGAUUUUAAGAUAUCUCAAAGUUUCAAUUUAUCAAAAUAAAUAAAGAAUUAAUAUUAUUAUUUUUAUCUAUCAAGACUAAUAUUAGAGUAAACGCCCCUAAAUAAUUAGUCAAACUUAUUAUUGCUCGUGUAUAGUAUUAAUAUUUAAACUAGAGCAAUUUACAAUUAAACUAGACUAUAUUCCUAAUUAUUAAUUUAAUUUGGGGUAAACUGAUAUAUAUGAAUGACUAUUUCUUUUGUUUUAUUACAAAUGUCUCGUUAUUUUUAGACACGAAGAUUAAGAAAUGUGUAAUUAGUAGAUAAAGUGGAUUGAUAAAAGUUAUUUAAAUAUUAUGUAUAGAGGGAGAAUGUAUAGUCAAAGAAAAGAAUGAGAUAUUUGUAAUGAAACAUUUAAUUAUGAAAAGUGAGAUAUUUGUAAUUAGACCGAUGAAGUAUUAUUUUUUUUAUGUUAAUGACUAUUUUUACGUAGGCA